UUCGUGGCAGAGAGAGGCCUGAGGAGGCUCUUGAGGCAUACACUGGUUUUGGUGGGAUUGCCUGUCCUGAGAAACCCCUGCUGCAAACAGGGCUGUGGUGAUGCCUUCACUUGGUCACUGAGGAUGGAAGGAUACCUGGAAUUUUAUUCCUUUUGCCAGUGGAAAACAAUGCUAGAUCUGCUUGUAUGUUUAGAGCAAGAUGGAUAAUGUGGAACUUUAGUGAUGUGUGAGGAUGCAGAUAAAGGUUGGAACUUGUGCUUUAGUAGAAGCCACAAAUAACACCCUGAAGACACUGAGCUUCAUGAUUAGACCAAGUAUAAAAGCAAAUAAAAUGUGAGCUGUGUCUCACAUGCAACCAA